rnacentral:rRNA from 1 species
AUGCAAGUCGAGCGAAUGGAUUGAGAGCUUGCGUCUCAAGAAGUUAGCGGCGGACGGGUGAGUAACACGUGGGUAACCUGCCCAUAAGACUGGGAUAACUCCGGGAAACCGGGGCUAAUACCGGAUAACAUUUUGAACCGCAUGGUUCGAAAUUGAAAGGCGGCUUCGGCUGUCACUUAUGGAUGGACCCGCGUCGCAUUAGCUAGUUGGUGAGGUAACGGCUCACCAAGGCAACGAUGCGUAGCCGACCUGAGAGGGUGAUCGGCCACACUGGGACUGAGACACGGCCCAGACUCCUACGGGAGGCAGCAGUAGGGAAUCUUCCGCAAUGGACGAAAGUCUGACGGAGCAACGCCGCGUGAGUGAUGAAGGCUUUCGGGUCGUAAAACUCUGUUGUUAGGGAAGAACAAGUGCUAGUUGAAUAAGCUGGCACCUUGACGGUACCUAACCAGAAAGCCACGGCUAACUACGUGCGAGCAGCCGCGGUAAUACGUAGGUGGCAAGCGUUAUCCGGAAUUAUUGGGCGUAAAGCGCGCGCAGGUGGUUUCUUAAGUCUGAUGUGAAAGCCCACGGCUCAACCGUGGAGGGUCAUUGGAAACUGGGAGACUUGAGUGCAGAAGAGGAAAGUGGAAUUCCAUGUGUAGCGGUGAAAUGCGUAGAGAUAUGGAGGAACACCAGUGGCGAAGGCGACUUUCUGGUCUGUAACUG